GAUGAACGCUGGCGGCGUGCCUAACACAUGCAAGUCGAACGAAGCACUGUCGAAUGAGGAUUCGUCUGAAUUUGGCUUUGACUUAGUGGCGGACGGGUGAGUAAUGCGUGAGCAACCUGCCUUUCAGAGGGGGACAACAGUUGGAAACGACUGCUAAUACCGCAUGAUGUGCCGAGGGGGCAUCCCUUUGGCACCAAAGAUUUAUCGCUGUGGGAUGGGCUCAUGUCUGAUUAGUUAGUUGGUGGGGUAACGGCCUACCAAGACUGCGAUCAGUAGCCGGACUGAGAGGUUGAACGGCCACAUUGGGACUGAGAUACGGCCCAGACUCCUACGGGAGGCAGCAGUGGGGAAUAUUGGGCAAUGGGGGCAACCCUGACCCAGCGACGCCGCGUGAGGGAAGAAGGGUCUUCGGAUUGUAAACCUUUGUUAACGGGGACGAAAAAAUAGACGGUACCGAAUAGAAAGCCACGGCUAACUACGUGCCAGCAGCCGCGGU
rnacentral:rRNA from 1 species